rnacentral:lncRNA from 1 species
CAACAUCAGCAAUGGGUACAGUGAUGAUUGGUAAGUACGAACUGUGAGACAGUGACCCCCAAGUGUCAUGCCAAGGUCAGUACACAUCUGAAGAGUGCCAGCGGGACAGCUGUGCCAAAGGAACCAGGCAGAGAACAAGAGAUGGAAUUCUUUUACUGGCUGGCAAAAGUUAACUCUUUGAGGACCUGCCAAGAGAAAGGAGGAACUGAAACUGGCAGCUCCUUUGAAUGGUGUUGAUGUCUUCUUCACUCACCCACAAAAUCUGCACAUCUAAUAGAACUCACCAAAUCACCAAGUAGUGUUAUCCAUCCCAUGGGUGCUUUGAAACUCACAAAUUACGUCACUCUGUUCUUUAGAGAGGAAGCUGAAAAUGCACUAUAUCCAUAGAGAUAGCUCCCAAACUCUCUUACCUUGUUUUAUGCUUUAUCACCAUGUCUCAGCAUUUUUCUGCAGAUCCAGUUCUGUUUUCCUUUCCAGCUUGUUGCACCUUUUGCUCUACUGGUUUUCUAGAUUUUCCUUCCUGCUCUCUCUUGGUAGGAUGUAUCCAUAGACUUAAAAUACAGAUCAUUUUCAGGUGGCCUCACAACAAUCUCCAGCCCACCCCUUAUCUGUGCCUUGUCCUUAGUGGGACCCAGACUGGAGUGGGCCAAAAGAAUAGACUGGGACCACUGCCGCUUUAAAUUCUGAGGCUCCAAGAAAAAGUGCUAAGUGUUUCCUGUUCUAUUUUAGCUACAAAGAGAAAUAUCUCCAGCAACAAGGUUGAAACAGCUUUUCUUUUAUGCAACUUCUGCAAAGAAAUGGUGCUUGAACAAUAUUUAUAGCUUUGGAAUCGCCAAGUCCAGCUGGUCUACAAACUGGUUUCUUUGGUUCCCACCUACAUUUUUGUCUUCCUUCCUAACUUCGCAUUUCACUCUGGUAGGAGGCAUGGGUAAAAGGAAGCCUUGAAAUAAAGCAUCAAAGUGAAAGAAAAAGUUAAGAAAAAAG